rnacentral:rRNA from 1 species
UACGUAGGGGGCAAGCGUUGUCCGGAAUCAUUGGGCGUAAAGAGCGUGUAGGCGGCCCGAUAAGUCCGCUGUGAAAGUCCAGGGCUCAACCCUGGAAUGCCAGUGGAAACUGUCGGGCUGGAGUCCGGAAGAGGCGAGUGGAAUUCCUGGUGUAGCGGUGAAAUGCGCAGAUAUCAGGAGGAACACCAAUGGCGAAGGCAGCUCGCUGGGACGGUACCGACGCUGAGACGCGAAAGCGUGGGGAGCAAACAGG